GAAGCCUGGUGCUUGCACCGGGUGGAUGAGUGGCGAACGGGUGAGUAACACGUGAGUAACCUGCCCCUGACUUCGGGAUAAGCCCGGGAAACUGGGUCUAAUACCGGAUACGACUGCCGGACGCAUGUCUGGUGGUGGAAAGUUUUUUCGGUUGGGGAUGGGCUCGCGGCCUAUCAGUUUGUUGGUGAGGUAAUGGCUCACCAAGACGACGACGGGUAGCCGGCCUGAGAGGGCGACCGGCCACACUGGGACUGAGACACGGCCCAGACUCCUACGGGAGGCAGCAGUGGGGAAUAUUGCACAAUGGGGGAAACCCUGAUGCAGCGACGCAGCGUGCGGGAUGACGGCCUUCGGGUUGUAAACCGCUUUCAGCAGGGAAGAAGCGCAAGUGACGGUACCUGCAGAAGAAGUACCGGCUAACUACGUGCCAGCAGCCGCGGUAAUACGUAGGGUACGAGCGUUGUCCGGAAUUAUUGGGCGUAAAGAGCUCGUAGGUGGUUGGUCACGUCUGCUGUGGAAACGCAACGCUUAACGUUGCGCGUGCAGUGGGUACGGGCUGACUAGAGUGCAGUAGGGGAGUCUGGAAUUCCUGGUGUAGCGGUGAAAUGCGCAGAUAUCAGGAGGAACACCGGUGGCGAAGGCGGGACUCUGGGCUGUAACUGACACUGAGGAGCGAAAGCAUGGGGAGCGAACAGGAUUAGAUACCCUGGUAGUCCAUGCCGUAAACGUUGGGCACUAGGUGUGGGGGGCAUUCCACGUUCUCCGCGCCGUAGCUAACGCAUUAAGUGCCCCGCCUGGGGAGUACGGUCGCAAGGCUAAAACUCAAAGGAAUUGACGGGGGCCCGCACAAGCGGCGGAGCAUGCGGAUUAAUUCGAUGCAACGCGAAGAACCUUACCAAGGCUUGACAUACACCGGACCGUCCUGGAAACAGGUCCUCUUCUUUGAAGCUGGUGUACAGGUGGUGCAUGGUUGUCGUCAGCUCGUGUCGUGAGAUGUUGGGUUAAGUCCCGCAACGAGCGCAACCCUUGUUUUAUGUUGCCAGCACGUGAUGGUGGGAAAUCAUAGGAGACUGCCGGGGUCAACUCGGAGGAAGGUGGGGAUGACGUCAAAUCAUCAUGCCCUUUAUGUCUUGGGCUUCACGCAUGCUACAAUGGGUGGUACAGAGAGAGGCGAACCCGUGAGGGCAAGCGAAUCCCUUAAAGCCAGUCUCAGUUCGGAUCGUAGUCUGCAAUUCGACUACGUGAAGUAGGAGUCGCUAGUAAUCGCAGAUCAGCAACGCUGCGGUGAAUACGUUCCCGGGCCUUGUACACACCGCCCGUCAAGUCACGAAAGUCGGUAACACCCGAAGCCGGUGGCCUAACCG
rnacentral:rRNA from 1 species